rnacentral:lncRNA from 1 species
GGGCGGGGGACGCUUCCACUCCCCCAGGCCACUCCUCUGGGCACCUCGCGCCCGCCCGGCUCGGGGCGCACACAGACCCCCCCCUUUGCCCAUCCGCUUUCUUAGGCCCCUUCCACUCCCCUUUAUCGUCUAAGAGGGACCACACCGAUGACCCAAAGGAGUUUGUUCGGCCAGGAUCUGUCCGGCAGGUGUGCCGGGGCGUCCCACCCCGAGAAGCGAAGGGCAUCCUCACGCUGCGUCCGGGCCGCUGUCCCUCACCUCGGCCCACCCUUCCGCGCUCCGGGUGCGCGCGUGAGGCGGCUCGGAGACCUGCGCCCGGCGCCCAGAGGAUGUCGCGGGUCUCUGUCCUGUUAAGUUGAGCUGCAGAACUUCCCUGUCAAUUCUCCUAGUCUUGCUGUAACAGCCCUGAUCCCCUUGUAUGAAGGUGAAUGUCUCCAGAAAAUACAGUGGCCAUAUACACAGGAAGUAGAUGAAAGUAAAUUAAAAGCCUCCACUCUAUUUCAUGUCUGAAAAUGGGUCAAUGUUCACAUAGCUACAUGUCCUUCCUCAUAGGGGGAUAAUAGCCAGGAAGAAAAUAUUUGAACAUGGAAGACUGAAGCUGCUACAGGACAGUGCUGACUAAACUUUGAUUUGCAUUUGCACCCCUGGAGGAUCUUGUGUCAAGACAGAUUCAGAUUCAAAAGGUUUGGGUUAGGUCCCAAUAUUUUUUUCUAACAAGAUGAUGCCAGGCUGCUGUUCUGUGAAUGCCAAGAGUUUAGAGCCCUUCCUUAGGCAACUCCUGUCCCCUCUGUGCAGUCAGCAAAAGGAGAGCACUUCCUGGUCAGAGGCUUAAAAAAAAAAAAACAGGAAAUACACAGCAUGUAUUUGGAUGAGACUAGAAACAAAACGAACAAGUUAACGAAGAAAUACGUUCAUCAAAACCUGACAUUAUUACUAACAUUGAGAUGGAAUGGAGUCAAAGGUGGGCUACCCAGGUAUUCAGUGUUUAAGUGCAGCUGCUUUUGAAAUUUAAUUUUAAGUUGUAACAAGAAUCACUGUAUCUAGUUAUAUCCUUCCCUAGAGAGGAAAGUUCAAGUUUCCAUAAAGGAGGAACUAAAGCUCUCAGAAUUACUGAGUUGUACAGUGCUAAUUUAUAUGAAUCUUCACCUUCCUCCAUAAGUUUCUAAUGAUUAUGGUUUCUGGAGAAUAAUAUAUCACUUUUUUAAUGCAUAUUCUUAAUCUACAAAACAAAAAACUUCCAAAAAUUUAAACUAGAAAAACAUUUUAGAAUGUUUUAGAACACUCAGGAUGUUCUGUCAUAGGGAGAGAAUGAAGUGUCAUGUGUGUAUAUGUGUAUGAUUAUUCUGUGUUAUUAUAAACUUCCAGAGCAUAGCAUGCAUUUUCAGAGACGUUGUCUUAGCAUUUAAACUGCAAGGCCCUUUUGUAGAAGCCCUCUUCUUGCUCACCAGCAAGCCCUAUAGAUAGGUAACUCUGGCAAUCUUAUAUGUGAUUUAUUAAUAUGUCAUGUUCUUGACCAAGUAAACCUGAUUUUGCUAAUUACUUAUCAGUUCUUUUACCUUGUAUUUCUUUAAGAGCAGCAUUGCUUGUUUUACCAAAUAUAUAUUGUCCAACUUGCAGAAAAUACUAAUGAUAUUACAGAUAACAAAAUGAGAUUAUGUGUGCAGAUCCCUGCAUCCUGGUGGGCACUAUCUUGUUUAGUAAGUUUUUCCUUCUGCUGUUGCCACUGCCAAACAGACUGCUUAUGAAAUCUUUGGCUUUCUUAACGACUCUUCAGGGAUCACUAAAAUGUUUCUUUUUUCCUGGAUGCCAACUUCAUCUCCUUUUAAGAAUAUAGUAUUAGUUUAAAGGGAUACUCAAUUUAAAGCAAACUUGUAGAUUCAGUCACUCAUGAUUGAUAUUAGGCAAGCAGAAAAAAAAUAGGUUGAUUUUUAUCCUCCAACUUUUUUAUCUUUGAUGGUGAAGGUGGCUACUUUUUUUAAACCACAGCCUGGUAUGUAUUGUUUGAAAACUUGUUUGAAAGUUGUCUUAACCUAUGUCGUUCUUCUGUUUUUAUCUGUAGAAAUGAGAAAACAUAUAUGUCAGCUACUUGUUUCUUUUAAGUACUCAAAUUAAUAUUUUUCUUGAAAUAAAUAAUAAUUACAGUUUUAAGUUGUCAUAUUAAUAUUUUACAUGAAGUAAGCUCAAUAUGUAUACACAGCAUAGCAGUAAAGACAUCUCAAAUAAUAAGUAAUUCGUGAAACUAAGUUUGAAAUUUAAGCACUGCUAAUAUGUCUACAUAUUUGUAUUUCUUUUCUUGGACUUGGUCUGUUUAAAAUAAUAGUUAUGGCCUAUUGUGUUAUUUGUUAUUCUGUCAUUUAAAAUGUAAAUUAUGCUGUCUUGAAUUAUUUGUGUAAAGCUGAGUUUAUAGGUAAGUUUAUAGUACCAAUAAACAACCAGUGAUUACAUUUUUACUGAGAAAACUCAUUAUUCCUACUUUAAAUGUACCAACAGUCUCUCAACCAUAAGGUUUUUUUGGUACCAGGGAUCGAACUCUGGACCUUGCACUUGUGAGGCAGGUGGCAGAACCACAAUCCCCGCAUAAGUUUAUGCACAUGACAGUGUUGCCUGG